AACAACCCAAUCAAAUACUUCUACUAACCCCUAAUACACUAAAAAUAUUCAACUAAACCAUUCAUCUUCCCUAGUAUAGGCGAUAGAAAAGGAAUAAAAGAGCAACAGAUAUCAGUACCGCAAGGGAAGGCUGAAAG
rnacentral:rRNA from 1 species